CCAGACUCCUACGGGAGGCAGCAGUGGGGAAUAUUGCACAAUGGGGGGAACCCUGAUGCAGCGACGCCGCGUGGGCGAAGGAGUAUUUCGGUAUGUAAAGCCCUAUCAGCAGGGAAGAACAAUGACGGUACCUGACUAAGAAGCACCGGCUAAAUACGUGCCAGCAGCCGCGGUAAUACGGAGGAUGCGCGCGUUAUCCGGAUUUAUUGGGUUUAAAGGGUGCGCAGGCGGAUUUUUAAGUCAGCGGUCAAAUGGGGGGGCUCACCCCCAUCCAGCCGUUGAAACUGUGUCCCUUGAGUGCGCGAAGGGUAGGCGGAAUGCGUGGUGUAGCGGUGAAAUGCAUAGAUAUCACGCAGAACUCCGAUCGCGAAGGCAGCCUACCGGCGCGCAACUGACGCUCAUGCACGAAAGCGUGGGUAUCGAACAGGAUUAGAUACCCCAGUA
rnacentral:rRNA from 1 species